rnacentral:misc_RNA from 1 species
GAUGAAGAACGUAGCGAAAUGCGAUAAGUAGUGUGAAUUGCAGAAUUCAGUGAAUCAUCGAAUCUUUGAACGCACAUUGCGCCUUCUAGUAUUCUGGGAGGCAUGCCUGUUUGAGCGUCAUUAAACCUCUCUCAAGUAUGAUUACUUGGAUGUGAAGGAAGAGUACCUUAAACUUAAGGAGUGUUCUCCUUUGAAAUUGAUUAGCAGAUGGUAAUGUUAUUAAAUCCCUGAUGUUGUAAGAAAUAACAGUGGUUUUGUAGACUAUUAUCUAGCUUUAAAUUAUAAUUUUUAUUAUGGUUGACCUCAAAUCAGGUAAGGAUACCCGCUGAACAUAAGCAUAUCAAUAAGCGGAGGA